rnacentral:rRNA from 1 species
GACGAACGCUGGCGGCGUGCUUAAUACAUGCAAGUCGAACGGAAAGUCGCUGCGUUUGCGUGGUGCUCGAUUGGCGAACGGGUGAGUAUCACGUGAGUAACCUUCCCUUGACUUUGGGAGAACUUUACGAAACUGGGGCUAAUACCGGAUAGGAUCUCCUGCUGCAUGGUGGGGGUUGGAAAGUUUCGGUUGUUGUGUAUGGAAUGGUGGGUUAUCAGCUUGAUGGUGUGGUAGUGGCUUUCCAAGGCUUUGACGGGUAGGCGGCAUGAGAGGGUGAACGGCCACAUUGGGACUGAGAAAGGGCGCAGCCUACUACGUGCGGCAACAGUGGUGAAUAUUGCACAAUGGGGGGACGACUGAUGCAGCAAAGACGCGUGCGGGAUGAUGGCUUACGGGUUGUAAACAGUUUUCGCAUGUGACGAAGCGUGAGUGACGGUAAUUGGUAAGAAAGCACCGGCUAACUACGUG